rnacentral:rRNA from 1 species
AUUGAACGCUGGCGGCAGGCUUAACACAUGCAAGUCGAGCGGAGCGAGGUGCUUGCACCUUAUCUUAGCGGCGGACGGGUGAGUAAUGCUUAGGAAUCUGCCUAUUAGUGGGGGACAACAUUCCGAAAGGAAUGCUAAUACCGCAUACGUCCUACGGGAGAAAGCAGGGGAUCUUCGGACCUUGCGCUAAUUGAUGAGCCUAAGUCGGAUUAGCUAGUUGGUGGGGUAAAGGCCUACCAAGGCGACGAUCUGUGGCGGGUCUGAGAGGAUGAUCCGCCACACUGGGACUGAGACACGGCCCAGACUCCUACGGGAGGCAGCAGUGGGGAAUAUUGGACAAUGGGGGGAACCCUGAUCCAGCCAUGCCGCGUGUGUGAAGAAGGCCUUAUGGUUGUAAAGCACUUUAAGCGAGGAGGAGGCUACUGAGACUAAUACUCUUGGAUAGUGGACGUUACUCGCAGAAUAAGCACCGGCUAACUCUGUGCCAGCAGCCGCCGUAAUAC